rnacentral:rRNA from 1 species
GCUAUGUAGCAAGGUUAAGUACUUAAGGUAUGGAGCCGAAGGGAAACCGAGUCUGAAAAGGGCGAAAAGUUGCAUGGUGUAGACCCGAAACCGGGUGACCUAUCCAUGGCCAGGUUGAAGCGAGAGUAAAAUCUCGUGGAGGACCGAACCACGUUGGUGUUGAAAAACCAUGGGAUGAGCUGUGGAUAGCGGAGAAAUUCCAAUCGAACUCGGAGAUAGCUGGUUCUCCUCGAAAUAGCUUUAGGGCUAGCGUCGUGUAAUUGAGUAAUGGAGGUAGAGCACUGAAUGGGCUAGGGGCUAUAGUAGUUACCGAACCCUAUCAAACUCCGAAUGCCAUAUACUUGUAUCACGGCAGUCAGACUGCGAAUGAUAAGAUCCGUAGUCAAAAGGGAAACAGCCCAGACCAUCAGCUAAGGUCCCAAAGUGUAAGUUAAGUGGAAAAGGAUGUGGGAUUUCUAAGACAACUAGGAUGUUGGCUUAGAAGCAGCCACUCAUUUAAAGAGUGCGUAAUAGCUCACUAGUCAAGAGAUCCUGCGCCGAAGAUGUCCGGGGCUCAAACUUACCACCGAAGCUAUGGGUGUACACUAUGUGUACGCGGUAGAGGAGCUUUCUGUAUGGGUUGAAGUCGUACCGUAAGGAGCGGUGGACUGUACAGAAGUGAGAAUGCUGGCAUAAGUAGCGAGAAAUAAGUGAGAAUCUUAUUGGCCGAAAACCUAAGGUUUCCUGGGGAAGGUUCGUCCGCCCAGGGUUAGUCGGGACCUAAGCCGAGGCCGAAAGGCGUAGGUGAUGGACAAUCGGUUGAUAUUCCGAUACCGCCUAUUUACGUUUGAGAGAUGGGGUGACGCAGUAGGAUAAGAUGUGCGCACUAUUGGAUGUGCGUCUAAGCAUUUAGGCAUGCUUGAUAGGUAAAUCCGUCGAGCUAAGCUGAGGUGUAAUGGGGAGCCAUUUAUGGCGAAGUAUCUGAUUCCACACUGCCAAGAAAAGCCUCUAUCGAGUGAAUAGGUGCCCGUACCGCAAACCGACACAGGUAGGUGAGGAGAGAAUCCUAAGGCCAUCGGAAGAAUUGCUGUUAAGGAACUCGGCAAAUUGACCCCGUAACUUCGGGAGAAGGGGUGCCUACGAAAGUAGGCCGCAGAGAAUAGGCCCAAGCAACUGUUUAGCAAAAACACAGGUCUCUGCUAAAGCGAAAGCUGAUGUAUAGGGGCUGACGCCUGCCCGGUGCUGGAAGGUUAAGGGGAACACUUAGCGUAAGCGAAGGUGUGAACUUAAGCCCCAGUAAACGGCGGCCGUAACUAUAACGGUCCUAAGGUAGCGAAAUUCCUUGUCGGGUAAGUUCCGACCCGCACGAAUGGCGUAAUGAUUUGGGCACUGUCUCAACAGCAAAUCCGGCGAAAUUGUAGUGCAAGUGAAGAUGCUUGCUACCCGCGAUUGGACGGAAAGACCCCGUAGAGCUUUACUGUAGCUUAGCAUUGAAUCUCGGUAUUGUCUGUACAGGAUAGGUGGGAGACUUGGAA